rnacentral:rRNA from 1 species
AGAGUUUGAUCAUGGCUCAGGAUGAACGCUGGCGGCGUGCUUAAUACAUGCAAGUCGAACGAAGCACCUCUCCCGUUGAUUGAAGUAGCUUGCUACAGAUUGAGACAUUUGAGGUGACUGAGUGGCGGACGGGUGAGUAACGCGUGGGUAACCUGCCCUGUACAGGGGGAUAACAGUUGGAAACGACUGCUAAUACCGCAUAAGCGCACAGUACCGCAUGGUACAGUGUGAAAAACUCCGGUGGUACAGGAUGGACCCGCGUCUGAUUAGCUAGUUGGAGGGGUAACGGCCCACCAAGGCGACGAUCAGUAGCCGACUUGAGAGAGUGAUCGGCCACAUUGGGACUGAGACACGGCCCAAACUCCUACGGGAGGCAGCAGUAGGGAAUAUUGCACAAUGGGGGAAACCCUGAUGCAGCGACGCCGCGUGAAGGAAGAAGUAUUUCGGUAUGUAAACUUCUAUCAGCAAGGAAGAAAAUGACGGUACUUGACUAAGAAGCCCCGGCUAAAUACGUGCCAGCAGCCGCGGUAAUACGUAUGGGGCAAGCGUUAUCCGGAUUUACUGGGUGUAAAGGGAGCGUAGGCGGUACGGCAAGUCAGAAGUGAAAGCCUGGGCUCAACCCCGGAACUGCUUUUGAAACUGCCGGACUUGAGUGUCGGAGGGGUAAGCGGAAUUCCUAGUGUAGCGGUGAAAUGCGUAGAUAUUAGGAGGAACACCGGUGGCGAAGGCGGCUUACUGGACGACCACUGACGCUGAGGCUCGAAAGCGUGGGGAGCAAACAGGAUUAGAUACCCUGGUAG